rnacentral:rRNA from 1 species
GGUUAAGCGACUAAGCGUACACGGUGGAUGCCCUGGCAGUCAGAGGCGAUGAAGGACGUGCUAAUCUGCGAUAAGCGUCGGUAAGGUGAUAUGAACCGUUAUAACCGGCGAUUUCCGAAUGGGGAAACCCAGUGUGUUUCGACACACUAUCAUUAACUGAAUCCAUAGGUUAAUGAGGCGAACCGGGGGAACUGAAACAUCUAAGUACCCCGAGGAAAAGAAAUCAACCGAGAUUCCCCCAGUAGCGGCGAGCGAACGGGGAGCAGCCCAGAGCCUGAAUCAGUGUGUGUGUUAGUGGAAGCGUCUGGAAAGGCGCGCGAUACAGGGUGACAGCCCCGUACACAAAAAUGCACAUGCUGUGAGCUCGAUGAGUAGGGCGGGACACGUGGUAUCCUGUCUGAAUAUGGGGGGACCAUCCUCCAAGGCUAAAUACUCCUGACUGACCGAUAGUGAACCAGUACCGUGAGGGAAAGGCGAAAAGAACCCCGGCGAGGGGAGUGAAAAAGAAC